UGGGGAAUUUUGGACAAUGGGCGAAAGCCUGAUCCAGCAAUGCCGCGUGUGUGAAGAAGGCCUUCGGGUUGUAAAGCACUUUUGUCCGGAAAGAAAUCCUUGGCUCUAAUACAGUCGGGGGAUGACGGUACCGGAAGAAUAAGCACCGGCUAACUACGUGCCAGCAGCCGCGGUAAUACGUAGGGUGCAAGCGUUAAUCGGAAUUACUGGGCGUAAAGCGUGCGCAGGCGGUUUGCUAAGACCGAUGUGAAAUCCCCGGGCUCAACCUGGGAACUGCAUUGGUGACUGGCAGGCUAGAGUAUGGCAGAGGGGGGUAGAAUUCCACGUGUAGCAGUGAAAUGCGUAGAGAUGUGGAGGAAUACCGAUGGCGAAGGCAGCCCCCUGGGCCAAUACUGACGCUCAUGCACGAAAGCGUGGGGAGCAAACAGGAUUAGAUACCCUGGUAGUCCACGCCCUAAACGAUGUCAACUAGUUGUUGGGGAUUCAUUUCCUUAGUAACGUAGCUAACGCGUGAAGUUGACCGCCUGGGGAGUACGGUCGCAAGAUUAAAACUCAAAGGAAUUGACGGGGUCCA
rnacentral:rRNA from 1 species